GGGCGCCUACGGGGCGCAGCAGUGAGGAAUAUUGGUCAAUGGGCGCGAGCCUGAACCAGCCAAGUCGCGUGAGGGAAGACGGCCCUACGGGUUGUAAACCUCUUUUGCCGGGGAGCAACGGGCGCCACGUGUGGCGCCACUGAGAGUACCCGGAGAAAAAGCAUCGGCUAACUCCGUGCCAGCAGCCGCGGUAAUACGGAGGAUGCGAGCGUUAUCCGGAUUUAUUGGGUUUAAAGGGUGCGUAGGCGGAGCGUUAAGUCAGUGGUCGAAUUGAGGGGCUCAACCCCUUCCCGCCAUUGAAACUG
rnacentral:rRNA from 1 species